CAUAAGUAACCAUCUUGAAAGUUAAACAUGAAAAAAAGACUAUGAACCUCUAUCAACUCCUUGCACACAUCCAAAGACAAUAACUGGCCCUGCAUUAAUCAUGGCCUCCUAAACUCGUCCUCGUUUUUUCUUUUGUUAUUUUCUUAACGUCAGCUAACAGGAAGAGAGAACGUCACACUCUGCACUGACACACCUUCCUGCAUCUCUUCAGGGCUCUGUAGCCAAAUCUGACAGAUAAGUGAGACUCUCUGCUUUAGGACAUGGUUGGUAUCAGACACAGUCUCCUCAGCUUGUUGCUGUUUGUGUUCUGGAUAAAAGGUCUAACUGAUGGAAGUGGUGUCCAGCAGACCGACAUACUGUGGGGGAAGAUGGGUGAAAAUGCAACAAUGCACUGCAACCACACAAAGGGACUUGACUAUUACUAUAUGUACUGGUUCAGACAGCUGCCUGGAGAAAAUAUGAAGCUGGUGGUAUCCACAAUGGUCGGCAAGGGAGAUCAUGACUUUGGAAAUUUCAGCAAAGAGAAAUUCUCAGCCACCAAGACUGUAGUUGAUAGUGGGACGUUCACAGUGAAGAAUCUGCAGCCAGGAGAUAAAGGCUUGUAUUUCUGUGCUGUGAGUAAACACAGUGAUACAGACGCAUUUAAUAGCUGA